rnacentral:rRNA from 1 species
AUUGAACGCUGGCGGCAGGCCUAACACAUGCAAGUCGAACGGUAACAGGAAGAAGCUUGCUUCUUUGCUGACGAGUGGCGGACGGGUGAGUAAUGUCUGAGAAACUGCCUGAUGGAGGGGGAUAACUACUGGAAACGGUAGCUAAUACCGCAUAACGUCGCAAGACCAAAGAGGGCGACCUUCGGGCCUCUUGCCAUCGGAUGUGCCCAGAUGGGAUUAGCUAGUAGGUGGGGUAACGGCUCACCUAGGCGACGAUCCCUAGCUGGUCUGAGAGGAUGACCCGCCACACUGGAACUGGGACACCGUCCAGACCCCCACGGGGGGGCGCCGGGGGGAAUUUUUCCCAAGGGGGGAAAGCCCUGAGGCGCCCCGGCCGGUGGGUGGAAGAGGGCUUUGGGUUUUAAAAUUAUUUUCUGGGGGGAGGAAGGGAGUAAAAUUAACUCUUUUCCUCUUUACCGUUCCCCAGAAAAAAGCCACGGCUAACCCCCGU